AGACAGAACCAUCAGCACUCCAGACGGGUGAACAUCAGCAGAUAGAGCUUCACAAAGAACUUGACUUUAUAUCAUUUCGGCAACAUUUAGCUUACUUUCGCAGUUGUUUGUGAAGUUCAUUUUACGUUGGAUCUCAUUUCUUAAUAUUCUUAAGAGAUGUGGAAAUUUAUCAUACUUUUAGGAAUAACGAUUGGUGGCGCUGCUGCCCAGGGUCAACAAGGUCAGCCUGGACAGGGACAGGGACAGGGACAGGGACAGGGAUCCCAGUUCAACUCGCCAUGUCUACAGAUGUUUGACCAGAAUUUCAGGAAGUGUUUCAAAGAUAAUGGAAACUUUGAACUGGAGGUCAUCUUCUCCCUGGUUACUAACGGUUCCAGUGGACCACUGCCACAAGGAACAUCCAGACAACAGCUGAUGCCGGUCGUCUGCGGAAACCGAGAAAAGGUUGACGCAUGCGUGAAACCCAUCAUCCAGAGCAUCCAGGUACAGUGCAGUGAUCGCGAGAAUAUGAUGAUGGACUCCACCAUUCAGUCCACCGGAAGAGCCAUCGCCGUCAUGUGUGGUGUUACACCUGAAAUGCCACCUUGUUUGAAAAGGUUCGACGACAAUUUCAAAUCCUGCAUGACUCAGCAGAAAAUCAAUCAUGACAACUACUUCAAACUGUUGGCCAACCAGACCGAAGGAACUGGGAUGACAUUUCCACAACUUAGAGACAGCACCUGCAACAAACCAACACAACAGGUCAUCGUUGGUUGUGCAUCAGGUGGUUUACAAUCACUGGCCAACGAAUGUACAAAACAGGAACAAUUCAUGGUCGGCCAGACGCUCCAGAACAUGAUGGCGUCAUACCAGGCUGUAUGCACGGGCCAGCCUCUUGUCGGUCCGGGUAGGGCUCCCAGUGCUUGUCUCCAGAAGUUCGAGGAAGAGUUGAACCAGUGUUCCAUUGACACCAUGGGCGCUCCUUUGAAUGACAUCAUGAUUCUGCUGACCCGAGGCCAGGUCCCAGAAGGACAGGACAUACAGAAACUUAACAAAACAAUUUGCGACAACUUCCAUAGUUUUGAAGAAUGUGGUAAAAAUGUGGUAAUCAAGAACCAAUGUAAAGGAAAAGACCUACUCAUCUCGGAGGGAACCUUCGCCAACGUUAUCAUCACGGUCGGGGCUUACUGUCACGACACCACCGUUCCCGGAGCCUGUAUGCUCACCCUCCAACAACAGUUCACUAAAUGCUUCGGUCAGGUUGGUCUUGACCCAGCUGUAUAUUUUUCCAAUAUCACCGCUCACAAAGGAGCCAUUCUUGGAACCAACAAAGCUAUGGCUGACAAAUAUUGCAGCAAAAAGAGCGAACUUUACACAUGCAUGAAGAAGGUUAUGCACCAAUGUCCAGGUGCCGAGCAGACAAUGGCAAUGACAGGAUUUGAUCUGGUGUCCAUGGAACGGGCUGUGAGCAUUCUUUGUGACGAUAUUCCAGAGUACCUCGCCGGAAUCGAUUGUUUUGCUAAGCCCAGUGACAAAGCUCGAGUCUGUAUCGCUAACAUGGGACGCGACAUCACUCAAAUGUCCGCAAACCAGAUGGCCAAAGGAAUCAGUUUAGAUGGAUUUUUGAACGAGUUCUGCAAAAUCCGUGUUGAUCACGUGACCUGCGACUCCCAAGCCUGGCCAACCUGCGACCCCAGAGCUAUUGCCCUAAAGACCAAAUUUGAGUGCCACUUGCUUCCUGUCAGAUGCCACGACGUAAACGAGGACGAAAUCUCCAAAGUCUGUCCAGCUGAUUCUCGAGUAAAGCCACAUACAUGCGUCGACGAUGUGAAAGUCAACAUUGGAAACUGUUUGGCCCCAUACAACAUCGAUCCGGAGACUUUCAUUGUCAACGUUACACAUGACCGUAGCAACAUGAUAGGCAGCCGAUCUCAAGCUCAAAACUUUUGCCAGAAUAGGCAAUCCGUUUUCAAAUGUCUGCGCGAUACCUUGGACAGGUGUGCCGGAGCCUCCGAACUCUUAGCGUACUGGGGACACCAACAGGACCUUCUGGAAGAUGCUUUGGAUCUCCUCUGCCAAAACAUGGAUGGAUAUGAGAAACUCUCUACUUGUGCAAGUGGUGCAACAUCACAGAUCAACCAAUGUCAGAAAAAUUCCGAGAUGAAGAUGGGAGAUUUAACAAAUCUAACCCCCAACAGUCAGACAUCGUCUUCCUACUACACACAGUUCUGCAGCGUCCGAUUGGAACAACUUCAGUGUGACCUGAAGGCUGUCAAGAGUUCCUGUGACGCAGCCUCAGUGGGCCUGAAGACCGAGUUUGAGUGUAACCUUAUCCAAGACAGGUGUCAGGGGCUGAAGCGGGCCGACUUCAACCGGAUCUGCAAUGUGAACAACUACGCACGCUCAAACCGAGUGCGUAAUAACGGCGGUUCACCUCAGAAUACGAUUACUAAUAACAAACCCAAUGUACUAGGCGGACAGGAAGGCAAUAAUAGUGCUGGUGGACUAUUUAACAUCUCAGCUACACUAGUCACCAUAGGUCUAUCUCUUCUUGUAUUCUUAUAGAUUAAACUGUAGUGAUAUUUACUCUAAAUCACAUGCCAUUACCGAAAUACCAAAUUCAGUCAUGAAGAAACCUUUCGUGUUUCUGAUUUAGUCAGUUAACUUUGGCUUAUAUUGAAUAUGGCAUUAAGGUUGAAAAAACUGAAGAAAAAAAAAGCUUUUAGAAUAUGAAUACUAGUAGGCUAUUUUAGAGGAAUCUUUAAUGAGAUAUAGAUAUUCUGAUGACGUCAAACAGACCGAGGAAAUCUGUGGGAGGAAAAUGUCUCAAAAAUUCUUAUAGAAAAAAAGAAGAAAAAGAAAAUGUGAUAAAGCAAAUCCUGUAUAAAGCUACAAAUGAAGCAAUUAUACUGCGGUCGACAUCCGCUCGGUGACCAUGGGUGCGUUGUAUGCUGUGAUGAUUCCACGAAUCCACUUUUUGUAUUAUGUGUGUUUUGUAUUUAUGUGUGUGCGUGUUCUUGCAAGAAAUAAUUUAUGUAUAUGUUUUCCGAUCAUAAUGAGCGCUCAUUCUGAUCCUGUUGAUUUUUAAUAAAAAUAUGAUUAAUAG
rnacentral:misc_RNA from 1 species